GAUGAACGCUGGCGGCGUGCCUAAUACAUGCAAGUCGAGCGAACGGACGAGAAGCUUGCUUCUCUGAUGUUAGCGGCGGACGGGUGAGUAACACGUGGAUAACCUACCUAUAAGACUGGGAUAACUUCGGGAAACCGGAGCUAAUACCGGAUAAUAUUUUGAACCGCAUGGUUCAAAAGUGAAAGACGGUCUUGCUGUCACUUAUAGAUGGAUCCGCGCUGCAUUAGCUAGUUGGUAAGGUAACGGCUUACCAAGGCAACGAUGCAUAGCCGACCUGAGAGGGGGAAGGGCCAAGCGGGAAUGGAAACACGGUCAGGAACCGAAGGGGGGGAAGCAGAGGGGAAGUUUGCACAAUGGGGGAAAGCCGGAGGGAGAAAGCGCGGGUGAGGGAAGAAGGGUUGCGGAUGGUAAAACUCUUUUAUUGGGGAAAAAAAUUUGUGUAAGUAAAUGGGAAGAUUUUAAGGGUACCGAAAAAGAAAGCCAGGGUAAACAAGGG
rnacentral:rRNA from 1 species